rnacentral:rRNA from 1 species
AUUGAACGCUGGCGGCAGGCCUAACACAUGCAAGUCGAACGAGCGGCGGACGGGUGAGUAAUGUAUGGGGAUCUGCCCGAUAGAGGGGGAUAACUACUGGAAACGGUAGCUAAUACCGCAUACUAUCGGAUGAACCCAUAUGGGAUUAGCUAGUCGGUGGGGUAAAGGCUCACCUAGGCGACGAUCUCUAGCUGGUCUGAGAGGAUGAUCAGCCACACUGGAACUGAGACACGGCCCAGACUCCGACGGGAGGCAGCAGUGGGGAAUAUUGCACAAUGGGCGAAAGCCUGAUGCAGCAAUGCCGCGUGUAUGAAGAAGGUCUUAGGAUUGUAAAGUACUGUCAGCGGGGAGGCGUUACCUGCACAGGAAGCACCGGCUAACUACGUGCCAGCAGCCGCGGUAAUUC